rnacentral:rRNA from 1 species
GUCUACAGCCAUGCCACCCAGAACAAGCCCCAUCCAGUCUGAUCUCAGAAGCUAAGUGGGGUCGGGCCUGGUUAGUACUUGGAUGAGAGACCACCUAAGACCAGGUGCUGUAGGCA